AUCGAACGCUGGCGGCAGGCCUAACACAUGCAAGUCGAACGAGCGGAGGACGUGUGGGUAAUGUCUGGGAAACUGCCUGCUUGAGCGGGCUUUAUACUGGAAACGGUAGCUAAUACCGCAUACCAUCAGCUGUGCCCAGUUGGGAUUAGCUAGUAGGUGGGGUAAUGGCUCACCUAGGCGACGAUCCCUACCUGGUCUGAGAGGAUGACCAGCCACAUUGGGACUGAGACACGGUCCAGACUCCUACGGGAGGCAGCAGUGGGGAAUAUUGCACAAUGGACGCAAGUCUGAUGCAGCCAUGCCGCGUGAGUGAAGAAGGUCUUCGGGUUGUAAAGCACUGUCAGUGAGGAGGCGGUACUCGCAGAGGAAGCACCGGCUAACUCCGUGCCAGCAGCCGCGGUAAUUC
rnacentral:rRNA from 1 species